ensembl:lncRNA
GGCAAUCUCUUGCUCGGCGUGUCUAGUGGUGCGUUGCCCUUUUAAAAAAGCUCCAUCUUUCCAUUCGCUUGGUGACGUCAGGACAGUGAAGGACUCUAGCCUAUCCUCUCUAAACAAUCAAGGCAAUGGUCCUGACUGAGUCGCGGCUUACGAGUGAGACUUUUUCACUGCAAAAGCCAGGGAAAAACACUCCACGUUGAAAUGAACCAGAGGCCAGCAGUCGCUAUGGAUUAAAACGAAAACUUUUACGAUGGCUGUUAAUGUGAAAAAGUAGGCAAAACAUCAGCAGACCUUCAGCAAGCAACUAGAUGCACGAGCCUUGCUAGUAUGAGCGAGCAGAGCGGUCACAAACCUGGCUGCAGUAUUUUCCUCUGUAUUUUAACCGAAUCAGCCUCCUUAAACCUUUAACGACUUGUGUUACUUUAAAUUCUAAAACAGUCAAAGUCCGGUACACUUUUGAUUCUGAAAGAGUUAUGGCGGGGAAGGUGACAGCAGGCUCGGGAAUACUGCUCGUGACAGCCAACGUUGGAUCGCUCUUUGAAGAUCCUGAUAACCUACAGAAGACAUGGCUGCGGGAAUUCUACCAGACUGUUCAAUCACACAGGCCCCACUUCAUCGCAGUGCACUGUCAAGAGGUGGGCGGGAAGAACUACGAAGCGUCCAUGUCACACGUGGAUUGUUUUGUCAAGGAGCUGCUGUCCAGUGAUGCCAUGAAGGAGUACAACAGAGUCCGUGUCUACCUCGACGAGAACUACAAAUCCCAGGAGCAUUUCACAGCACUAGGAAGUUGCUACUUCCUUCACGAAUCAUUGAAAAACAUCCAGCAGUUUGAUUUCAAAGCCAAGAAAUUCAAGAAGGUGGUUGGGAAAGAGAUCUACUCAGACACACUAGAGAGCACACCCAUGUUGGAGAAGGAGAAGUUUCCUCAGGACUACUUCCCUGAGUGCAAGUGGUCCAGAAAAGGCUUUAUCAGGACUCGAUGGGCUCUGGCUGACUGUGCUUUUGACCUGGUCAACAUCCACUUGUUCCACGAUGCCUCCAACAUACUGAAGGCCCUGGGCUUCGUCUUAGAUAGGAUCACUGACCAGAGGUUUGAAAAGGUGCCAUAUUUUGUCUUCGGAGACUUCAACUUCAGGUUGGAUACAAGGCAGGUUGUUGAGAGUCUGUGCUCCACUGCCACCAUGCAGACGGUCAGACUAGGUGACACCAAUGAAGUUGACAAGCUAAUAUUCAGAGAAUCUGAGAACGAUCGCAAGGUUGUACUUCAACUUGAAAAGAAGCUUUUCAAUUAUAUUAACCAGGAUGUUUUCCGGGAAAACAAUGGGACCCUGUUUUUACAGUUUGACAGUGAGCUGUCCUGUUUCAAGGAACGGCUGCACGAGCUGGAGAUAUCCUUUCCUCCCAGUUAUCCGUACAGUGAAGACAGCAGUCAGGGAAAGCAGUACAUGAACACUAGAUGCCCUGCCUGGUGUGACCGCGUCCUUAUGUCUGCCACAGCUAAAGACCUGGUCUUAAAGCCUGAAAAUGAGGAGAAGAACUUGGUCUAUGACAAUAUAGGGCCCAACGUCUGCAUGGGGGACCAUAAGCCUGUCUACCUGUCCUUUCGUUUAACAACCGGGGCAGGUAAAGCUAAUGCAAAUAAGCACAAGUGUUGUAACGUGCAGUGAUGUCUUG